rnacentral:rRNA from 1 species
AUGCUCGAUGUCAUGGAUGUCAUCAUCACGGUUCUCGAAGCGGAGAAGCUGCAGGUCGUGCUUGACAUGUUUAUCUGUGUCUGUGCUGCGUCGCACAUGUUUACGCCGGUAGUCAUCUCUCCAGAAGCCCAACGCAUUUUCAACGAGAUGGGUGGUGCGUUAGAGAGAGAAGGAAACAGGCUAUGGGAGAUCAUAUUAAACACGAUGAAGGAGGUGAGGACACUCAUGGAGGAAGAUGACUCAUUGGCUAUCGAGAUCUCGCGAGGAGGAGGCGAGGUUCACAACAACACUCGGUUCAUCAUGGAUUGCAUAGUAUGCAUGAAGAAUGCACGGACUUCAAUGAAAAGCUCUGCACUGAGCGACAACACUGAGAACCUUGGUGUCCUGAUCGAUGGUACAAUCGAUUAUCUAAAGAGCCUUCUCUUCACAAAAUCGGAGUCAUGCUCGGACCAAAGCCUCCGGUAUCUCUUCCUGCUCAACAAUUCCUAUUUCGUAGCUAAUGUGGUGUCUGAGUCAUCCUUCAUUGAUGAGCUGUGGGACCUCCAACUUGAACUUACACCUGAGUGUAACAAGUACAUGGAUAGUUAUAUCGAUGUUUCUUGGGGGCAUGUGCUCUCCUGCAUACCAAAAUCAGGUUUUCCUGGACCGAUCCAACGUUGGAUCAACACCUCUUCAGUGGCAAAAUUCGAGUCAGCAUUUCACAAAACAUACCAGACUCAGAAGUUGUGGAAGGUUCCGGACCCUGAGCUUAGAGAUGCGCUGCGGAUGGCUAUUACCGAAAGAGUCAUUUCAGGUUACCGUGACUACCUGGAGGAGCAUCCGGAGCUAGGGAAACACGUUGGCUGCCAAAGCAGCAGUCCUGAAGUUUUGGAGGGGAUGUUGGGAGAGCUAUUUGAAGGAUGA